GCCAAAUCAUGAUCCACACAUACAAUGACUCAGUGUAUAGAGACGAAUGUCAUAACUUUUAUUAUAUAACGAUAAUGUCUUACAAAAUAACUGAUAAUAAAAUAGAUCGAACCAAAAUAACUAUCUCCACAACGCCAUAGUUGACUGGGAGACGACGCCUAGAUCUCAUCGAACUCGUCGUAGUAAUCCUCCUCUGGUGGUACCUGCUCUUCACCUGGUGUGAUUAUAGCAAGGGUGAGCUCCCAUACGGUCAUCGCUCAGCAAGUGUGGGUAAUGUGUAGUGUAAGGCUUAUCAAAGAAUAUGGUUAUGGGUGAGCAUUGCCUUUAAUUUUGUUGGUCAAAUUUUAUUAGCAAUUACUAAGUAUAAGUAUAUACCAACCCAAUUAAAUAUUUGAUCAUAAUGAAUAAUAAAAUCCCACAAUGCGAUGCAUGACAGGUUAAGUUUAAUUCCAUAAAUAAAUCAUGCGAGAGUCCUGAGCCGCUCUUGACCGUGAGCACGGCUGAUAUACCAGUUUUACACUCUGCAGAGGUUGUGCAUCUUUACCCACAAGCCAUGUUACCCAUUUGCCAAGGGGUCUAGAAAUCCCAUUCAUCUCUACCGAGGAGACAAGGAAGGGUAGCACUACGAGGCCUUUCCAAAGUUCCACUAGUUUGAGAAAACCCGCUACGGUUUCAGGCAGAGGGGGGGUAUAGGAAUCCCUCGUCCGAAAAGCUAUCACAGAUAGUUCGACCCGAGAACCUCCCUAUACUUGCGGCAACUCCUCCCCGCUUGCCCCUUUCGGGUAAGGUAAUCUCUCCCUACUUUUCCUAAUUAAUUGGCCAAGGGCGUACCAUUAAACCCUUGUGGUAGCACUGUUUUCUCAGGUUAAGCUCUAUGUUCCAAUUAACAAGAUGAUCUUAUCAUGUACCACAAAUAAUUCAUAAACAGUUAACAGUGAUAAUAAGUCAUGAACAUGAUUCACAUAUAGUUUAACACCCAAAACCAGAUAGAGCAUAGCAAGACUACCCAAUAAUUCAUUUGUAUGCAAGGUGUGGGGUAAACAAAACUAGGUAACCUAUUAGGUCCCAUCAAUUUAACCCUACAGUGCAGCAGUGAGAACAGAAUCAUAAAUAUUAUUAGGUAAGAACGUGAUCAAGGACACAACUUGCCUUCUGCGAGCUCCUGCUCAGAAUCUUCAACCUGCGGUGCUUCGGGUUCCUCAGUCACUUGCUCGUCUACUCGCAGCAAUACAAACAAGCAAUAUAUAAAUAGAAAUUAACAUCACACCAAACAAGAGAACAAUCUGCAUAAUAUUAUUCUACACGUCGUAACGAAUCCGUAGGUUCGAGAACAACUAAAAUCGGACUUAAAAUGCAAAAGAUAUGAUUUAAACAAGUUUCUAGGUUAAUUUUAUACUUUAAAAUUAAUUCUCAGAGAUUUACUACGAUUAUCUACUUUAUUUUAUUUCAAAAGGACUGCGGGUUCUAUUACCCGAAAGCUUUAGGGUUUAAACCAUUAAAAAUGGGACCUGUUUGUAAGGCUCUUUCAAUAACCGCGGACUGCGGGUUUAUUUGCGAAGAAAACAGGGGCUCUUAAGCAAAUGAAUUCGCCCGAAGGGGUAUGGACAAUCGUCAGCCGUUGGAUCAUCAACCUAAGGUGAAGAUUAAACCGAACCGACAUGAAACCUCGGCCGCGGGAUCCAAAAUUGAUGCCUCGGAUUUUUUUUUCUAAACGCCCAGAUCAAAACUCCUGCGUCCGAUCCAGAUCGAACGGCCCUGAUCAUCCUAGCCGAACCGGUAUCAACUAUGUUUUAAUCCUGGCCGUCCGGAAUGAGAUCAACGGCCUAGACCUCUCUUCUUCCUCUCGAAGACCGAGCAACGAGCAUGGUGGUGAGGCAGAGCUCCGUCUCGCGAGCUCGCCGGCGCACGCGUCCUGACGACCCCACGCUCAGAUCCCGAUCCCAAUCAUAAGUAAAUGCAGCCCCGGAUGCUCCGAACCCAAUAGGCAUCCUCUCAUCUCGAUUAAGCGCAACAGAAAUCCUGGCCUUGACGCUCCGCGGCUCCGCGGCGGCGCCCCUGCCGGGACGCGGUGUAAUGGCCGCACCAGUGCUCCCAUUUACCCUUUCCCGAGUGCAAAACAUACCGAAAAGAACAACGAAUGGGAGGGUAUGUACCUCACCAGCAAUCGCAGCGUAGACGUUCCGUCCCACGAUGGAGGUGCGAACCGCGGUGAUGACCCGGCUCCUCCAAUCGGUGUCGUUCGCUCGGAUCGGUCGGCCACCGUGAUUCGUCAACCUUCGACGUCGAGCGAGCCCGGCGGCGCUCCAGCCCACGGUGGCCUCCUUGCCGGUGUAACGCCCACCCAGCGAUCCAGUGCUUGGUAUUUAGAGUAACGGCGAGUGGUCCGCAGCGGCACUCCUCGACAACGACGACGCACGCUUCUCCCUGCGACGUGGUCUUCUCUCCCUCCCUCCUGGAUUCUCUCGGCAACGGUGUACACGACGUACGCUCGUCUCCUCAAUUCGUGGCGACGCAAGACGGAUGAGGAUCGGGGCUCAGGCUAUAUAGCCGCGAGGGAUAGGCUAGGAAUGCAGCGGCCAGGGAGUACACAGCUGGCGUAACAAACUUCCGCUUGUUACGGAAGGCGGUUCGGCGAUCAUUGUUCGAGAGAAAAUACGGCGCGAGGUUGUUACGCCGCGCAGCCGAGGGAUCUGCCCGAUCGGCCCCAUGUGGUAGUGACCAUCGAGACAAGAAUUGGGUUACUGUCAUGAUGUCAUGGCUUACAUCAGCAUGAUGUGAGUUUGCGGCAAUGGAAUAAACAAAUGAAGAAAA
rnacentral:lncRNA from 1 species